rnacentral:rRNA from 1 species
UACGUAGGGACCAAGCGUUAUCCGGAAUUAUUGGGCGUAAAGAGCUCGUAGGCGGUUUGUCGCGUCUGCCGUGAAAGUCCGGGGCUCAACUCCGGAUCUGCGGUGGGUACGGGCAGACUAGAGUGAUGUAGGGGAGACUGGAAUUCCUGGUGUAGCGGUGAAAUGCGCAGAUAUCAGGGGGAACACCGAUGGCGAAGGCAGGUCUCUGGGCAUUAACUGACGCUGAGGAGCGAAAGCAUGGGGAGCGAACAGG